UUCCUUCCGAUUAGGUUGUUUACCUGAAGUUUUUCUACUUUUUUAUGUAGGUGCUUAUUGCUAUACACUUUCCUCUUAGUACUGAUUUCACCAUAGGCCACAGGUCUUGGUAUGUCGUG